AUGGCAAAGUACUGGUGGUCAAGCUCGAUUGAUAAAAGGGCUCUCCACGGGCUGUCUUGGGACAAAUUGGCGUCACCAAAAAUCAAAGGUGGGAUGGGUUUCAAAGAUCUCCCACUUUUCAAUCUAGCUAUGCUUGGCAAACAAGGGUGGCGCCUCUUGACACAUCCACACUCUCUCUGUGCUCGUGUGUUGAAGGGGAAGUACUACCCUAACACAGAUUUUCUUCAUGCUACUGCUCUGGCGAGAGCCUCGGCGACGUGGAAGGCCAUUGUUGCGGGUAGAGAAGCAUUGAAGCAGGGGCUGAUCCAUAGGAUAGGCGACGGCACAAGCAUCUCCACUUGGACCGAUCCAUGGAUCCCCAACACUGCAACUCUGAAACCCAGUGGAUGACUAGGGUCUGCACCAUUGCCACAUGUUUCAGAUUUGAUAGAUCAUUAUACAGGAUCAUGGAACAUUGAGCUAGUACGGCUAAAUUUUCUCCAUCCAGAUGUAGAAGCUAUCCUCAAUAUCCCGUUGAGUGCACAUGGUGGGGAAGACAGCCUCGCUUGGGCUCUAGAAAAAUCGGGCAACUACACUGUUAAAUCG
rnacentral:rRNA from 1 species